rnacentral:lncRNA from 1 species
CUUCACCUUGCCCUUUCCUAGCCUCUGUGAGGAAACUGAGGCACUGGAAGAUGAAGGCUACAGAGGUAGAAAGUGAUGGAGUGAUGCCUGGAGACGGGAAUGUCUGGAAUCUUAGAGGAAGGAAUCACACACCGACAAGCAUGGCAGGCUUAGUCUUUGAAACUUAAUCAGAGCCUGAGAUACAUCCAGAAGACUGCAUUACAAUUUCAAAUCAAAGCUGGACAAGUUUUUUUUUUUUUUUACACAGAUAUCACCAUGUUAGAAAAGUUGGACAAGUUUUGAAACCAUUCUGAACCUAUCAUUCCUGUCUUUCAAAUCCUUCCAAGGCA